rnacentral:tRNA from 3 species
GCGCCCGUAGUGAAGCGGAUAUCACGCAGGCCUCCGAAGCCUGAAGCAGGGGUUCAAGUCCCUUCGGGCGCACCA